UACGAAGGGGGCUAGCGUUGCUCGGAAUCACUGGGCGUAAAGGGCGCGUAGGCGGCCGGCCAAGUCGGGGGUGAAAGCCUGUGGCUCAACCACAGAAUGGCCCUCGAUACUGGCUGGCUCGAGACCGGAAGAGGUUGGUGGAAUUGCGAGUGUAGAGGUGAAAUUCGUAGAUAUUCGCAAGAACACCGGUGGCGAAGGCGGCCAACUGGUCCGGAUCUGACGCUGAGGCACGAAAGCUAGGGGAGCAAACAGG
rnacentral:rRNA from 1 species